rnacentral:rRNA from 1 species
UACGGAGGAUGCGAGCGUUAUCCGGAUUUAUUGGGUUUAAAGGGUGCGUAGGCGGAUGAAUAAGUCAGUGGUGAAAGGCUGCAGCUUAACUGUAGACUUGCCGUUGAUACUGUUUAUCUUGAGUGUGGUCAAGGCAGGCGGAAUGUGUAAUGUAGCGGUGAAAUGCUUAGAUAUUACACAGAACACCGAUUGCGAAGGCAGCUUGCUGGGCCAUUACUGACGCUGAUGCACGAAAGCGUGGGGAGCGAACAGGAUUAGAUACC